UGGCGACCAAUCCAAGCAAAAUACAAUCAAUUUUACAGUUAAGCGUAGCAGCUUUGGCAUUUCUUGCUUUUGCUGGAUAUCUAUUGUGUAUGAUUGUACAAGCUAUUAAGAGUAAAGGAAUAACGUAUUUCCAUCAAGCAGUCUCACCUGUUGCCAUUUCAGCCGCCAGUAAAAAAAAAAGACCCAUAAGAAACAAACGACACCUCGGGUUAGAUAAUGAGGAGAAACAUGGAAACAAUUGUUUUAGAAUUGUAUACUUUCCAAUAAUCCGGGCCUCUGAAUACAUUGUUCAGAAAUUCUUGCUUGCGGACAAUCUUACUCACUGAGAACUUACUUACUCGAGAACUAAACUGAACUCGAGCCAAAUCGACUCGAGCCUCGAGCCAAAAUUCUCGCUGAUUAGCCAAGGACAACAUUGUUUGAUAUUGUUCUCACCGAGACUAAAAAGAAAAUAACAAUUUAGAGCAUUACGAAAGCCAACAAGCGCUCCUAACCUUAUUUAAAGUAUCUACUUUCUAAAUUGUUAAUAAAUGCACAAAAAACAUCAAAACUGUA